AGAUGGCGACCGGCGCACGGGUGAGUAACACGUAUCCAACCUGCCGAUAACUCGGGGAUAGCCUUUCGAAAGAAAGAUUAAUACCCGAUGGCAUAAUUAGACCGCAUGGUCUUAUUAUUAAAGAAUUUCGGUUAUCGAUGGGGAUGCGUUCCAUUAGGCAGUUGGCGAGGUAACGGCUCACCAAACCUUCGAUGGAUAGGGGUUCUGAGAGGAAGGUCCCCCACAUUGGAACUGAGACACGGUCCAA
rnacentral:rRNA from 1 species